UACGGAGGAGGCAAGCGUUAUCCGGAAUUAUUGGGCGUAAAGCGUCCGCAGGUGGCACUUCAAGUCUGUCGUCAAAGACUGGGGCUUAACCCUGGAAAGGCGGUGGAAACUGAAGCGCUAGAGUGUGGUAGGGGUAGAGGGAAUUCCCGGUGUAGCGGUGAAAUGCGUAGAGAUCCGGAAGAACACCGGUGGCGAAGGCGGCCCGCUGGGCAGGAAGGCUCGCAAGAGCCGGCUGACGCUGAGGCGCGACAGCGUGGGGAGCAAACAGG
rnacentral:rRNA from 1 species